rnacentral:lncRNA from 1 species
GAGGGGUCUGGAGCACAGGCCUUACGAGGAGCAGCUGGGAAGGUCGGCCUCUUCUCUUGUGUGACUAGUGAUAGGACUAGAGGGAAUGGCCUUAAACUGCACCAGGGAAGGUUCAGGCUGGACGUUAGGAAAUACUACUUCUCUGAAGGGGUGGUCAGGCACUGGAAUGGGCUGCCCAGGGAGGUGGUGGAGUCACUGAGCCUGGUGGUGUUGAAAGAGUGUUUGGAUGUUGUGUUGAGGGACAUGGUUUAGUAAGAACCAUUGGUGAUGGGUGAAUGGUUGGACUGGGUGAUCCUGUGGGUCUUUUCCAACCUUGGUGAUUCUAUGAUUCUAUGAUUCUAAAUGUAGUCUUCGAAGUGUAACUUGAGCUAUGGUCAGCAUCCAUUCCAGUUAAGCUUUUGCAUUAAUUUUAUUGUAUUUGUAG